rnacentral:rRNA from 1 species
AGCGAACGCUGGCGGCAGGCUUAACACAUGCAAGUCGAGCGGGCCCUUCGGGGUCAGCGGCCGACGGGUGAGUAACACGUGGGAACGUACCCUUUGGUUCGGAAUAACGCUGGGAAACUAGCGCUAAUACCGGAUACGCCCUUUUGGGGAAAGGCUUGCUGCCGCAGGAUCGGCCCGCGUCUGAUUAGCUAGUUGGGGGGGUAAUGGCCUACCAAGGCGACGAUCAGUAGCUGGUCUGAGAGGAUGAUCAGCCACACUGGGACUGAGACACGGCCCAGACUCCUACGGGAGGCAGCAGUGGGGAAUAUUGGACAAUGGGCGCAAGCCUGAUCCAGCCAUGCCGCGUGAGUGAUGAAGGCCUUAGGGUUGUAAAGCGCUUUUGUCCGGGACGAUAAUGACGGUACCGGAAGAAUAAGCCCCGGCUAACUUCGUG